CUGUCAUCAGAUGUACAAAGCAUCGUACUACAGAGCAUCCUCAUACGGGAGACUAAUAAUACAGUUCAGGAAGAAGAAUCAUUUUCUAUAGACAGUUGGAAUGAGGCCAAGAGACGUUAUUCGAAUUGCCAUGGUGCUGACCAUGUUCCUCCUCUUGGUGUAUAUUGCUGCCAACCCACCACACUUUUGG